GAAUACAUAUGUUCGACAGUAAAAAAUUUCUCAUCAUGGAGAUAUGACUAAAUGUACAGUUCAUGAUCGGUAAGGAAUGAUUAUGAACUCUAUCUCAUAAACUAUUUAUUACUUCGUAACUAUGACUGUAACUAUGGCUAUGGUUAUGAUAAUAACUAUGACUUAUGGAAGUGUAACUAUGACUAGGUCCAUAUUAAUAGUGGAAAUGAUCAUUUCUCUUCGUGAUUGGAUCUGAG
rnacentral:lncRNA from 1 species